AGCUCGUGUCGUGAGAUGUUGGGUUAAGUCCCGUAACGAGCGCAACCCUUGUCCUUAGUUACCAGCACGUUAUGGUGGGCACUCUAAGGAGACUGCCGGUGACAAACCGGAGGAAGGUGGGGAUGACGUCAAGUCAUCAUGGCCCUUACGGCCUGGGCUACACACGUGCUACGAUGGUCGGUACAAAGGGUUGCCAAGCCGCGAGGUGGAGCUAAUCCCAUAAAACCGAUCGUAGUCCGGAUCGCAGUCUGCAACUCGACUGCGUGAAGUCGGAAUCGCUAGUAAUCGUGAAUCAGAAUGUCACGGUGAAUACGUUCCCGGGCCUU
rnacentral:rRNA from 1 species